AUACGUAGGGUGCAAGCGUUAAUCGGAAUUACUGGGCGUAAAGCGUGCGCAGGCGGUUUUGUAAGACAGAGGUGAAAUCCCCGGGCUUAACCUGGGAACUGCCUUUGUGACUGCAAGGCUAGAGUACGGCAGAGGGGGAUGGAAUUCCGCGUGUGGCAGCGAAAUGCGUAGAUAUGCGGAGGAACACCGAUGGCGAAGGCUAUCCCCUGGGCCUGUACUGACGCUCAUGCACGAAAGCGUGGGGAGCAAACAGGAUUAGAUACCCUGGUAGUCCACGCCCUAAACGAUGUCAACUGGUUGUUGGGUCUUCAUUGACUCAGUAACGAAGCUAACGCGUGAAGUUGACCGCCUGGGGAGUACGGCCGCAAGGCUGAAACUCAAAUGAAUUGACGGGG
rnacentral:rRNA from 1 species